UACGUAGGGUGCAAGCGUUGUCCGGAAUUAUUGGGCGUAAAGAGCUCGUAGGCGGUCUGUCGCGUCGGCUGUGAAAUCCCGAGGCUCAACCUCGGGUCUGCAGUCGAUACGGGCAAACUAGAGUAUUGCAAGGGAGACUGGAAAUUCCUGGUGUAGCGGUGAAAUGCGCAGAUAUCAGGAGGAACACCGGUGGCGAAGGCGGGUCUCUGGGCCGAUAUUGACGCUGAGGAGCGAAAGCGUGGGGGAGCGAACAGG
rnacentral:rRNA from 1 species